rnacentral:snRNA from 1 species
UUAGCGAUGUGCCGCAGGUUU